rnacentral:rRNA from 1 species
GUCUAUGGCCACACCGCCCUGAACGUGCCCGACCUCAUCUCAUCUUGGAAGCUAAGCAGGGUCAGGCCCGGUUAGUACUUGGAUGGGAGACCACCUAGGAAUACCAGGUGCUGUAGGCA